rnacentral:rRNA from 1 species
UAUGGCGACCGGCGCACGGGUGAGUAACACGUAUCCAACCUGCCGAUGACUCGGGGAUAGCCUUUCGAAAGAAAGAUUAAUACCCGAUGGCAUAGUUCUUCCGCAUGGUAGAACUAUUAAAGAAUUUCGGUCAUCGAUGGGGAUGCGUUCCAUUAGGUUGUUGGCGGGGUAACGGCUCACCAAGCCUUCGAUGGAUAGGGGUUCUGAGAGGAAGGUCCCCCACAUUGGAACUGAGACACGGUCCAA